AACUUUUAACGGUGGAUCUCUUGGCUCGUGCAUCGAUGAAGAACGCAGC
rnacentral:rRNA from 1 species